CNCAACAACUUUAUUAAUGAACUGAUAAGCCAUGGAAUCGAAGCACAUGUUACACUAUACCAUUGGGACCUACCACAAACACUUGAGGAUGAAUAUGGAGGAUGGGUUAGUCGAAGAGUUGUG